GAGGAAUGUAUAGCAAUAGCUAGUUGCAUCAUAGUAGAUAUGAUGCAAGAUCGACUAUGUUGAAUAAAAUUCUAGGUAGAAUUAUGAUAAUGACAUUGUCUGCCUAUGUGUCUUGACCAAAUUACGUGCCAGCAGUCGCGGUAAUACGUAGAAGACUAGUGUUAUUCAUGUUUAAUCGGUUUAAAGGGUACCUAGACGGUAGAUCAAGCUUUCUAAUAAAGGAAAAGGACUAAUUUACUAGAGUUACUUAUGAGGGGGUAUUAAAGUACUGCUGGUGUAGAGAUGAAAUUCUGUCAUACCUCUUUUCAAAAGAAAAACCAUGGCACAGGUAUAGGCGAAGGCAUCCCCUUAUGUGAUAACUGACGUUGAGGGACGAAGGCUUUGUGUAGCGAACAGGAUUAGAUACCCCAGUAGUCGAAGCAGAAAAUGAUGAAUGUCAUAGAUUAGAUAUAUAAGUUUAUUCUAUAAAUGAAAGUGUAAGCAUUCCACCUCAUGAGUAAUUUGGCAACAUUGGAACUGAAAUCAUUAGACCGUUUCUGAAACCAGUAGUGAAGUAUGUUGUUUAAUUUGAUGUUCCGCAAAAAACCUUACCACAAUUUGAAUAUUUAUAUUGUUUAUUGUUUUAUUAUUAAUUUUCUUGAACGUAAAAGAAAAGAGAGAUGUAGGAUAAUAGUAAGAAAAUUAAGAAACAAGCAAUAAGAUAUAAUUACAAGCGUUGCACGGCUGUCUUCAGUUAAUGUCGCGAGACUUUGGUUAGUUCCAUUAAAUUAACGUAAACCCUUACUUUAUUUUUAUAUAGAGUAGUUCCCCGCUAGAUUGGAUAU
rnacentral:rRNA from 1 species